UAUAUGUAUGUAAAAAAAACGGUCUCAGUUCCUUCCAGGCUUUGGUCAAAGACACAUGUCUUCUCUGCAGCUCCACGCGCAAUCUCCCAUGUGCGACUCACAUGUCUAUUCACCUCGACACAAGAUAUAUGGUUUGUAAUCGAAGAUAAUUUAUCAGACUCAUAUUCUCAAAAUGACUGUUCUCAUUACACACAAGCACACAUACUGUAAUACAAAUAUCAUAUGUUACUUCUUUCAGUGCAAAAGCAAAAAUCAAAACUUUCUUUGUAAGUAAAUACACACGUUUUUGUAUUAUACUA